AUAACAGUUGGAAACGACUGCUAAUACCGCAUAAGCGCACAGGAUCGCAUGAUCCGGUGUGAAAAACUCCGGUGGUAUGAGAUGGACCCGCGUCUGAUUAGCCAGUUGGCAGGGUAACGGCCUACCAAAGCGACGAUCAGUAGCCGACCUGAGAGGGUGACCGGCCACAUUGGGACUGAGACACGGCCCAAACUCCUACGGGAGGCAGCAGUGGGGAAUAUUGCACAAUGGGGGAAACCCUGAUGCAGCGACGCCGCGUGAGCGAAGAAGUAUUUCGGUAUGUAAAGCUCUAUCAGCAGGGAAGAAGAAUGACGGUACCUGACUAAGAAGCACCGGCUGAAUACGUGCCAGCAGCCGCGGUAAUACGUAUGGUGCAAGCGUUAUCCGGAUUUACUGGGUGUAAAGGGAGCGCAGGCGGUGCGGCAAGUCUGAUGUGAAAGCCCGGGGCUCAACCCCGGUACUGCAUUGGAAACUGUCGUACUAGAGUGUCGGAGGGGUAAGUGGAAUUCCUAGUGUAGCGGUGAAAUGCGUAGAUAUUAGGAGGAACACCAGUGGCGAAGGCGGCUUACUGGACGAUAACUGACGCUGAGGCUCGAAAGCGUGGGGAGCAAACAGGAUUAGAUACCCUGGUAGUCCACGCCGUAAAC
rnacentral:rRNA from 1 species